CCCUUAGAUGUUCUGGGCCGCACGCGCGCUACACUGACGAUGGCAACGAGUUUUUCCUUCGCCGAAAGGUGUGGGUAAUCUUUUGAAACAUCGUCGUGCUGGGGAUAGAUCAUUGCAAUUUUUGAUCUUGAACGAGGAAUUCCUAGUAAGCGCGAGUCAUCAGCUCGCGUUGAUUACGUCCCUGCCCUUUGUACACACCGCCCGUCGCUACAACCGAUUGAAUGGUUUAGUGAGGACUCCUGAUUGGCGCCGCCGCCCCGGCAACGGAGCAGCGGACUGCCGAAAAGUUGUUCAAACUUGAUCAUUUAGAGGAAGUAAAAGUCGUAACA
rnacentral:rRNA from 1 species